AAAUAUUCUAUAUCUUGUGAUGGUAUAUACAUUAUUCACAUAUAUACAUAAAUGCUGUUUUGAUUGCCGGGAGAUGAUUCUAAAUGGAUGCUCCUUGUCCUUGGUCACUCUGAGUAUUUCUCUGAAGGUAUUCAACUCAAAGUCUCAUUUCUCGGGUUCAUAUGGUGGCAUCCCUCCUCUACCUUCCCGUGUUUCAUAUCGAAGCAUAAGAAGUUCAUGGAAACCCUUUCAAGGGCUGACAUUGCAAUCUUCCAUCGUAUAGAUGUCUAGAUACCGAACUCUAUGGCAACUCAAGGAACGUCGUUAAAUCAGGCAAUCUCUCGCAACGCCACGGGAUGACGGGUAGCGGAUGGUUGGGGAUCGGUAGGAAGUGCUUAGAUGGUGGAGGAUUAAACGUACCCAAAACUCUGUACUAAAUCUCAUGGCCAGUUCACACAUCGGGUUGUUCUCAGCCAUUGGAUUUGACUGGCAAAGUGAAAUUCGGCUUCAGCUAAUGAAGAUUAAAUCGAGAACUUCGCACAACAACAAUCAGCUUCUCACCAAACCAUCAUUCCGUGUAUUGAAGGCAUAGAAGGUAAUGUUCAAAGGUAGUAUUUCAAGGUUGUUGAAAUCCUUACCGGUUUAAAGAAUGUGGUGGAAGUGAAGCUGCAAAUGAAUGCUUAGAGGGUCUUGGACAUCUCACUGGGAAUGAACAUGAAGAGGAUUUUCAUAUGGACAAAGAAAUGGAGAAGGCAAAGUCCAAGGGAAAAGAAAAAGUCAUCUACGCAAAUAAGGGAAAAGAUAAUGCAUCUCUCUCUCUCUCCCAUAUUGCAUAACCCAAAGGUAACAGAUUUCAACAUUUUAAUCUUUUUUCCCCCUCUUUGGCUAUAUUUUUUGUAUAUCGAACGCUCACAUUUGAGAACCUAUUUGUGAACUCAUUUGUUCUCUAUCAGGUGUCAUUUCUACAAGUUAGUCUGCUAAAGCUUCGUGAUUUCAAGGAUAGGAAGUUCAUGGGGACAAGGAGAGCAUAAAGGUCAAGUUCCUGUUCUGGAAUGUCAAGCCAUUUCGAGUAGAUGUCGGCAUUUUCUAAAGAAAACAGUUACAGUAGCAGCGGGAGUAGCCCCGUGGGUCUCUGCAAUGGCACAUUUCUGUCUUCGAUCGGAGUUUGCACGAAUCUGAGGAGAUUCAUACAUAACUAUUCACCUAGUAGUUAAAUACGAAUCGAGAAAGUCAGGAUCUCAAACCUCUCUCCCAGUCCCAUGACGCUAUGCGAGGCUCUUGGUUCCACUAACCAAUAGGACAAAAAAUUUAAUGAAUGAAUAUAUUUUUUCCCCUUCUUGAAAUGAUUGGGGUUAGUGAUUUUUUCUUUCAGUUAAUUAGAUGUAGAGAAUUUGUUUCUCCUUUCAAAGUAGAGAAAGGGAGCGUGCAUUUUGAUGCCUGUCUAUGCUAUGUUCAUUUCUUUGGUGUUCAACCUGUUGGUGUCUGUAACUUUUGUUUUGACUAUUUCAUUUUUUACCAAAAUUACACGCUCCUCAACCAAGAAAAAUAAUUACACUCUUUGAUAAUUCAUUUCAGUCGUGUUAAAAAACGUGUUGCGUUGUGCCUUUAGGCACGGGCAAUUUCUAGUGCAU